rnacentral:rRNA from 1 species
AGUGAACGCUGGCGGUAGGCCUAACACAUGCAAGUCGAACGGCAGCACAGUAAGAGCUUGCUCUUACGGGUGGCGAGUGGCGGACGGGUGAGGAAUACAUCGGAAUCUACUUUUUCGUGGGGGAUAACGUAGGGAGACUUACGCUAAUACCGCAUACGACCUACGGGUGAAAGCAGGGGAUCUUCGGACCUUGCGCGAUUGAAUGAGCCGAUGUCGGAUUAGCUAGUUGGCGGGGUAAGGGCCCACCAAGGCGACGAUCCGUAGCUGGUCUGAGAGGAUGAUCAGCCACACUGGAACUGAGACACGGUCCAGACUCCUACGGGAGGCAGCAGUGGGGAAUAUUGGACAAUGGGCGCAAGCCUGAUCCAGCCAUACCGCGUGGGUGAAGAAGGCCUUCGGGUUGUAAAGCCCUUUUGUUGGGAAAGAAAAGCAGCAGGUUAAUACCCCGCUGUUCUGACGGUACCCAAAGAAUAAGCACCGGCUAACUUCGUG